GACGAACGCUGGCGGCGUGCCUAAUACAUGCAAGUCGAACGCACUCUCGUUUAGAUUGCAGGAGUUUGCUCCUGAUUGAUAAACAUUUGAGUGAGUGGCGGACGGGUGAGUAACACGUGGGUAACCUGCCCUAAAGUGGGGGAUAACAUUUGGAAACAGAUGCUAAUACCGCAUAAAACCUAACACCGCAUGGUGUAGGGUUGAAAGAUGGUUUCGGCUAUCACUUUCGGAUGGCCCCGCGGUGCAUUAGUUAGUUGGUGAGGUAAAGGCUCACCAAGACAGCGAUGCAUAGCCGACCUGAGAGGGUAAUCGGCCACACUGGGACUGAGACACGGCCCAGACUCCUACGGGAGGCAGCAGUAGGGAAUCUUCCACAAUGGACGAAAGUCUGAUGGAGCAACGCCGCGUGAGUGAAGAAGGUUUUCGGAUCGUAAAACUCUGUUGUUGGAGAAGAAUGUAUCUGAUAGUAACUGAUCAGGUAGUGACGGUAGCCAAACAGAAAGCCACGGCUAACUACGUG
rnacentral:rRNA from 1 species